UACGAGAGGCCCAAACGUUAUUCGGAAUUACUGGGCUUAAAGAGUUCGUAGGCGGCAUGAAAAGCAGGGUGUGAAAGCCCUCGGCUCAACCGAGGAAUUGCGCUCUGAACUGUCGUGCUUGAGGAACCCAGAGGUGAGCAGAACAGAUGGUGGAGCGGUGAAAUGCGUUGAUAUCAUCUGGAAUACCGGAGGCGAAGGCGGCUCACUGGGGGUUUUCUGACGCUGAGGAACGAAAGCCAGGGUAGCGAACGGG
rnacentral:rRNA from 1 species